UGACUGAAGUCAGAAUGUCUUUUGCUUAGACUAGGCAUGGACAAUUUGGAUUGAGUUCAACAAACAAUGGAAGCUUAUCCUCAUGUCAUCCUUGACAACUUCAGUAGAACAAAAUUCAUCCUAAUCUAAAUUUGUUUGGAUUUUGUAGCAUUUAUUAUCAAUGUAUAGAAAAGAAGUGAAAAUCACGUGUUGUUCUUUUUUGCAGCUCUGCUGAUCUCUUAAAACCAGAAGUAGAACUUAAAGGAAAGGAGUGUGCAAUCGUUCGCCAAAGGCAAUUGUGUCUGCACAAAUUACCCUGAGAUAUCCUAGAUGAUAUACCCAGCCAUGGAAUGUCAGAACUGAGCUAUGGACUUUUGAAAUAAGCAUGUUACUUGGUAGAAAAGAUGAAUCUUUCUGGUAUUCUCAAGGUUGAAACUGCACAAGAUGCUCCUAAGUUUGGUGGUGGUUAUGCUGAUUGUGGAGAUUGUGGACCUGGUGCAACAAAGAGGUUUACCUGAUGCAGUCACAGGCAUCCGCUGCAAUUACAUGAUAACAUAGGUACUGUCAUAGUAGCUGUCUCAGAGUCUCAUUCGUAGGCAGGUGAUUACAGAAAAUCUUCCUCAGGCAUGUUUGAAAAAAAUUGGAUUUUAUUCUAAUGGAAACUUGAUAUGAGCCAGUUAAAUUAUAGGUUUCUUUAUGGCAAUGGGUUCAGAAGAAGAUGAAAUACGAUCUUCACAAUAUUGGUGGUGCUCUACGCAGUAUGAAGAGGAAGGAACAUCUGUUAACUGAACCGGAUUCUACAUAUUUCCCAGUUUUGAUUGUUGGUUUGACAUUACUUCCUGGGCACUUAGGUUUUGUAUGGAAGCACAUUCAGUUCACUUGAUUAAUACAUGCAUGAUAGAUGCACAUGCUAUCUGUACAACUCAUGUCAUCAAGAGUGGUGUAUUUAUGGAAGAUUCACCCAAAUAGUUGAUGUGGAUGAAGAUCUAAUACAACGAGAUCCAACGAUGUUGUUGCCUAUGAAGCCAAUAAUUGGCAAGAACAAGGCUUUGCAGUAUAUUCAGUUGGACCUCUGGUCUCCUAGAUCUUACACAUGAACAUUUUUGCAAGAGAAUUCAGUUCAGCUCAAGCCUAAGGUGGGCAUACGAACGUGAAUACUUAAAGAAUAUGAUCAUUAUAGUGUCAAACAUCGUGUUGUGAAUACAAAUAUGACUACAGCGUUGUAUCACUAACUCGAUGUUGUGGAUGGAGAUGGAAGAGGAUCUAUUGGUUUUGCUGCUGCUGAAGGAAGAGUUGAUGUUUGUAGAUACUUGCUUGAAGAGUUGGAUCUUUGUUUAUGAUGACGUUGUCUUUAACUCCUCCUGGAGCCAGAAAUUGCAUCAACUUCAUAACAGUUGGUUUUUGCAUUCGAUGAGCUACAAAAUUGUAUAAAUGAGUAAUCCAAUACUAUGAUUUACCGACA